GACGAACGCUGGCGGCGUGCUUAACACAUGCAAGUCGAACGGAAAGGCCCUGCUUUUGUGGGGUGCUCGAGUGGCGAACGGGUGAGUAACACGUGAGUAACCUGCCCUUGACUUUGGGAUAACUUCAGGAAACUGGGGCUAAUACCGGAUAGGAGCUCCUGCUGCAUGGUGGGGGUUGGAAAGUUUCGGCGGUUGGGGAUGGACUCGCGGCUUAUCAGCUUGUUGGUGGGGUAGUGGCUUACCAAGGCUUUGACGGGUAGCCGGCCUGAGAGGGUGACCGGCCACAUUGGGACUGAGAUACGGCCCAGACUCCUACGGGAGGCAGCAGUGGGGAAUAUUGCACAAUGGGCGGAAGCCUGAUGCAACAACGCCGCGUGCGGGAUGACGGCCUUCGGGUUGUAAACCGCUUUCGCCUGUGACGAAGCGUGAGUGACGGUAAUGGGUAAAGAAGCACCGGCUAACUACGUGCCAGCAGCCGCGGUGAUACGUAGGGUGCGAGCGUUGUCCGGAUUUAUUGGGCGUAAAGGGCUCGUAGGUGGUUGAUCGCGUCGGAAGUGUAAUCUUGGGGCUUAACCCUGAGCGUGCUUUCGAUACGGGUUGACUUGAGGAAGGUAGGGGAGAAUGGAAUUCCUGGUGGAGCGGUGGAAUGCGCAGAUAUCAGGAGGAACACCAGUGGCGAAGGCGGUUCUCUGGGCCUUUCCUGACGCUGAGGAGCGAAAGCGUGGGGAGCGAACAGGCUUAGAUACCCUGGUAGUCCACGCUGUAAACGGUGGGUACUAGGUGUGGGGUCCAUUCCACGGGUUCCGUGCCGUAGCUAACGCUUUAAGUACCCCGCCUGGGGAGUACGGCCGCAAGGCUAAAACUCAAAGGAAUUGACGGGGCCCCGCACAAGCGGCGGAGCAUGCGGAUUAAUUCGAUGCAACGCGUAGAACCUUACCUGGGUUUGACAUGGAUCGGGAGUGCUCAGAGAUGGGUGUGCCUCUUUUGGGGUCGGUUCACAGGUGGUGCAUGGCUGUCGUCAGCUCGUGUCGUGAGAUGUUGGGUUAAGUCCCGCAACGAGCGCAACCCUUGUUCACUGUUGCCAGCACGUUAUGGUGGGGACUCAGUGGAGACCGCCGGGGUCAACUCGGAGGAAGGUGGGGAUGACGUCAAGUCAUCAUGCCCCUUAUGUCCAGGGCUUCACGCAUGCUACAAUGGCUGGUACAGAGAGUGGCGAGCCUGUGAGGGUGAGCGAAUCUCGGAAAGCCGGUCUCAGUUCGGAUUGGGGUCUGCAACACGACCUCAUGAAGUCGGAGUCGCUAGUAAUCGCAGAUCAGCAACGCUGCGGUGAAUACGUUCCCGGGGCU
rnacentral:rRNA from 1 species